rnacentral:rRNA from 1 species
UAAUACAGAGGGGGCAAGCGUUGUUCGGAAUCAUUGGGCGUAAAGCGAAUGUAGGCGGCCGGAUCAGUCAGAGGUGAAAGCCCGGGGCUUAACCUCGGAAGUGCCUUUGAUACUAUCCGGCUUGAGUACGAGAGAGGAAAGUGGAAUUCCAAGUGUAGCGGUGAAAUGCGUAGAUAUUUGGAAGAACAUCGGUGGCGAAGGCGGCUUUCUGGCUCGUUACUGACGCUGAGAUUCGAAAGCUAGGGGAGCAAACGGGAUUAGAUACCCCGGUAGUCCUAGCCGUAAACGAUGGACACUAGGUGCAGGGAGUAUUGACCCUUUCUGUGCCAAAGCUAACGCAUUAAGUGUCCCGCCCGGGGAGUACGGUCGCAAGGCUG